AAUGGCAGCAUUUCGUUCCCUUUGCCGGGUGACCAAAGCAACAGGCUCUUGGACUACUAGCUGCUCUCCUGAACGGCUCCCCUGUCUACUCCUCAUCCUGGAUCCUAGACUUACACCAAAGCCCACCACCCUGCUUUUUGGCUCUGCACCCGCAACCUACUGCCAUCUGUAGCCCUGCCAUGGAUGGGACGUCAUUCCCUCUCAGUCACUUAGAGCUGCCACACUGGGCUCCCAUGGAGGUGACUUGUGUGUGACUAAGUGAGCCAUUCUGCCUGAGCUUGUGUCUGAUGUUGCCAUCUUGGUAUUUUGGUUCCUGUGGGCUGUGGUUUGCCAUAAACCAAGCACAAACACAUUGAAAACACCAGACUCAAGGAUUGCUGCAGGAGACAGACAGACGGUGGUGCUGUCAUGGCGAUGCUGUCUCCGAGAUGGGGAUGACCAUCUGCUGUUAUCAGUGUGGAAGAUGCCGCUCGGGGAGGAGAGCAUUGAGGGUGGAAUGAAGAAAUCAAAUGCCUGGAGCGGAAGCAGCCUGCAUGUAGCCACAUGGGAGAAGCUCAGAAGAUCAGCAAGAAAUUAGCCCUGCAAUCACGGAGCUGUUCUCAGUUGUUCACCCAAAGAAUUCUUAUGUGGAAAAGAAAUUUCUUAUUUCUUUAAA